AGGGUAAUAGCACAGGGGUAGAGCACAUGCUUAGCACACAUGAGGUCCUAGGUUCAAUCCCCAGUACCUCCA
rnacentral:tRNA from 1 species